UACAGGGGGUGGCAAACGUUGCUCGGAAUCAUUGGGCGUAAAGCGCACGUAGGCGGUCUGUUAUGUCGGAUGUGGAAAUCCCUCGGCUCAACCGAGGAACGUCGAUCGAUACUGCUGUUCUUGAGGAUUGCAGAGGAGACUGGAAUUCCCGGUGUAGCGGUGAAAUGUGUAGAGAUCGGGAGGAACACCGGUGGCGAAGGCGGGUCUCUGGGCAAUUCCUGACGCUGAGGCGCGAAAGCGUGGGGAGCAAACGGG
rnacentral:rRNA from 1 species